AACCGGGGAAUGAUGUGGAUUAUUUUGAUGCACGAGAAAAACCUUACCUACCCUUGACAUGUAUGGAAAACCGAAAAUAUUUUGUUUUGCUCAAAAGAAAACCUUAAACAGGUGCUGCAUGGCUGUCCUCAUCUCGUGUCGUAAGAUUUUGGGUUAACUCCCGAAACGAGCGCACCCUUUGUCAUUAGUUGCUACAUGCUGUGGAGCACUCUAAAGAGACUGUGGGAGACAAACAGGAGGAGGGUGGGGAUAACAUCCCUUCCGCUUGGCCCUUUUGGGUCGGGCUUUACACAACGAUAUUGGUACAAACAGAGGGCCACCCACCCACGAGAGGGAACCAAUCCCUCAAAGUGUAUCGUUAGUCCGGAUCGCUUUCUGUCACUCGGGGGGCUGAAAUUAACAACACUUGUGAUCGCGGAUCAUCUUGUCGAGUGAAUUCUUUCCCGGGGCUAGCAC
rnacentral:rRNA from 1 species